rnacentral:rRNA from 1 species
UACGGAGGAUGCGAACGUUAUCCGGAUUUAUUGGGUUUAAAGGGUGCGCAGGCGGCGUGUCAAGUCAGCGGUAAAAUGUCGGGGCUCAACCCCGGCCGGCCGUUGAAACUGGCGUGCUCGAGUUGGAGAGAAGUAUGCGGAAUUCGUGGUGUAGCGGUGAAAUGCAUAGAUACCACGAAGAACCCCGAUUGCGAAGGCAGCAUACCGGCUCCACACUGACGCUGAGGCACGAAAGCGUGGGUAUCGAACAGG